AUCCAACUGAAGAGUCCCAAAUAGGACGAAACGCACGUCAAACUGCAU
rfam:Schistosoma curassoni strain Dakar, Senegal genome assembly, scaffold: SCTD_scaffold0000099